rnacentral:misc_RNA from 1 species
AACUUUCGGCAACGGAUCUCUGGGCUCUCGCAUCGAUGAAGGACGCAGCGAAAUGCGAUAAGUAAUGUGAAUUGCAGAAUUCAGUGAAUCAUCGAAUCUUUGAACGCACCUUGCGCUCCUUGGUAUUCCGAGGAGCAUGCCUGUUUGAGUGUCAUUAAUAUAAAUAUCAGCCCUCUCUUGUUGAGUGGUUUGGAUGUGGGGGUUUGCUGGCCUCUUAAAGGGGGUUCAGCUCUCCUGAAAUGCAUUAGCAGAACAACCUGUUCAUUGGUGUGAUAACUAUCUACGCUAUUGAAUGUGAAGGGAAGUUCAGCUUUCUAACAGUCCUUGGACAAUUUACAUCAUUAAUGUGACCUCAAAUCAGGUAGGACUACCCGCUGAAUUUAAGCAUAUCAAUAAGCGGAGGCU